UUUUUUAAACCUAUUAGGCUACUAACAGUUCAAAGCAUCCAUCAGAUGCACAUCACUAAUAUAUCAAGGUACCAUGAGCAUGUGGCCAACACACAUAAAUAAUGCAUACUACGUAGUUACCAAUUAAACACACUAAAAUCGUGUUCCUAUAAAUGCGACUUGUAACAUUUUAUCGUCUAAACAUAGAACAGUUUGCAUCAUUUCAAUGUCUGAAACAACGAACCAACAGAUCGUUUCAUGUUCAUUAAGUACAACGACUGAAGUAUUUCAUCAAGCUAAGAACCAAGUACGUUGUAAAUAAAAUGUAUGGAGAUAUCAAUUCCUCUUGAGGCAGUAGAUGGAUGUCCGGGAUCAAUGGAAAACCAUUAGUUGAGCGCAUAUGCACUAGUUUGGGAUAUCUUUUUUCCAUCAGCCUUCACAGGGUCACGGUAGUGCUGUGAACCCACCGCGCAAAGCCGCGGUAUACACCAUCGCCGUAUCUAGAAACACCGUCCACCCAGUCCCACUUGCCACCGCUGCUCCCUACGUCGUCCUCCUCCCACAUUGCCAGCUUCCCGCGAACGUGCUUUCCGCCAAACCACACCUUGCCAUCACCCCCAAACACCUUUACCUUGUUGUUGCCGUCGGCAACAGGGGCGGGGAGCAUGGUGCUUCCCUGUGCAGCAGCCUCGUAGAGGCCAGUGAAGCAGCGGUACAUAUUGGGGGGCAUGCGGCCAACCUCGUCCCACUCCAUGGUGGCCAGAUCCAGUCGGAGGAUAAGCACCGUGGAGCAAGGCACAUCGAGGGCGAAGGACGACCUCAGACCGCCGAUCAUGAGGACGCGGCGCCCCCCCGUGCCGGGCAGCAGGCGGGGGCGCUUGAGGAUCUCGAAUACGUCACCCGAGGCCCGUGCGUUGCACCGGGUGUAAAAAAAUGCUUAGACAGUUGGAAAAACUACCACUAAAACAACAUUGCAAUCAGUCAAACAACUAUAUAAAAAUAAUUUCGGAGGGACUUUUAUGCAAAAAUGCUGGCGACGUACGGCAAAAGCGCACAAAACUCCCAAAUAAGAGUUGGUUGGUGGCUAACCUACAGGUAAGUUUUGAAGAGGUAUGCCCAUUGGGAUUCCCUACAUGUAGUUUCAGAAUCUCUAUCAGGGCAUCUACCUCAGGGAUCCUAUGACUCAAAUCCAUGACUACCACUGUUACGGCAUCAAAGUAUUGAACAAUGACCACAUUUAUGUACGUCGAGUUAGUUCAUAUACAAUGGCUCUGCAAUCCGUGCGGCCAGUAUAAACACUCGCUGCCUAAAUUAACCCGAUCAUUUGAUGAGCCGUGUCUCAAAUAAAAGUCCAAUCAAGUUGACCUAGAUGCGACACAGGCAACAAAAUACAUAUCACAGAACUCCAAGCACUAAUAGCAGUAAUAGUUGAUACCACUCUAGAUACGAAAAUAAAGAUGGCAUCACAGAAAAAUUUAUACACAACUUCCAAAAUGGUAGCUGAUAAAAAAAGCAAACCUGAUCAUCCAAAUUUAAACCUAUUAGGCUACUAACAGUUCAAAGCAUCCAUCAAAUGCACAUCACUAAUAUAUCAAGGUACCAUGAGCAUGUGGCCAACACACAUUAAUAAUGCAUACUACGUAGUUACCAGUUAAACACACUAAAAUCGUGUUCCUAUAAAUGCGACAUAUAACAUUUUAUCGUCUAAACAUAGAAGAGUCUGCAUCAUUUCAAUGUCUGAAACAACGAACCAACAGAUCAUUUCAUGUUCAUUAAGUACAACAACUGAAGUAUUUCAUCAAGCUAAGAACCAAGUACGAUGUAAAUAAAAUGUAUGGAGAUAUCAAUUCCUCUUGAGGC
rnacentral:lncRNA from 1 species